GGAUGUGAGGAUGAUCUGGCUAUGACAUCUGUCACCUCAUUAAUCACCGGAAUUAAUCAGGCUGAUAAGGUUGGCUAGGUGGAUAUCCCCUUCCUCCCUCACAACUCCAUGUGCAUGUCCUUCCCAAAGCUGUGCACUCAGUUGAAGUAGAAGACCAUCCCUGCAAGAGGAGGACCAUUCUUCAGUCAAGGGUACAUCAGUAACCCCCUGCUAGAACUUCCAAACAAUCUCUCAAGGUCCAUUUGUAGGAGAACAUAAGGUAGUCAAAUUUCCAAGACUCCAGACACAUCCAAUUGAGGUGCUGCAUGUGGCAGUCUACCUUUCUUU
rnacentral:snRNA from 1 species